CAGCCCUGCUUUCUCCUCCUCCACCAGGAGGUGCUGACCUCUCUCUGCCUCCACCAGUCUCUCUUGCUCCUCCCUCAGUUCCUCCCUCACCAUCUUCAGCACCUCCUCCUCUCCCUUCCUCCCCUCCUCCGCCUCCUUCAGUUGGUUUUCCAGCCUCCUCUUCUCCUGCUCUGUCCUCCUCAGCUCCUCUCUUUGCUCCUGCACCUCCUUCUCCCUCUCCUCCCAUCUGUCCUCCAGCCUCAUCCUCUCCUCCCUGGCUCUACUCAGUGCCUCCCUUUCUUCCUCCCGCUCCUCCUCCACCUCCCUCACUUUCUCCUGCAGCCUCCUCUUCUCCUCCUCCACCUCCGUCAGCUUGUUGUCCAGCCUCCUGCUCCUCUCCACCUCCGUUCUCCUCAGUGCCUCCCUCUCUCUCCCAUCCUCCUCCUUCUCCUCCAGCAUGUCUCUCAGCUGCUGCGCCUGCUCUUCUCGCUCCUUCAGGAGAAGGCUGAGCUUUGCUGCCUCCCUUCUGCCCCGCUCAGCCUUUUCCCUCCACUCCUUCAACUCCCCCUCCAGCCUGUCGCAGUCCUCCUCCCUCUCUCUGGCUCUCCUCCUCACUCCCUCACUCUCGGCACGGGCCUCCUGCAGCUCCCUGGUCUGGGAGGAGAGCCUGACGUGUCUUUCUCCUCCCUCCCUCCUCUCUUUCUCCAGGAGCGCCCGGGUUUCUCUCAGCAGCGUCUGCAGCUGCUCCUCCCCUCGCCUCCUUCUUUUUCAGUGUGUCGGUCGCCUCCUGCUGCUCCCUCUCCGCCUCCUCCUCCCGCUCCUCUGCCAGCCUCAGCCGCUCAUUCAGCUCCUCCACCUCCUCCUCCCGCUCCCUCACGGCGUUCAUCUGUCGCUCCAGGCUGCGCUCCCUCCGCUCCACCUCCUCCUUCAUCUCCUCACACUCCUCCUUGGCCACGUUCAACCUCACCGUCAGUAGCUCCACCUCCCCCACCUUUUCCAUCAGCCUCUCCACCUCCUCCUCUGCUCGCCUCCUCCUCUCCUCCUCUUCGUCUCGCAGCUUCUCCUGCUUUAUCCUCUCCUCCUCGAGUUCGAAGGUUUCUUUUCUGA
rnacentral:lncRNA from 1 species